rnacentral:rRNA from 1 species
UACGUAGGGUGCAAGCGUUGUCCGGAAUUAUUGGGCGUAAAGAGCUCGUAGGCGGUCUGUCGCGUCUGCUGUGAAAACUCAGGGCUUAACCCUGAGCUUGCAGUGGAUACGGGCAGACUAGAGUACUGCAGGGGAGACUGGAAUUCCUGGUGUAGCGGUGAAAUGCGCAGAUAUCAGGAAGAACACCCGUGGCGAAAGCGGCUCUCUGGAACGGUACUGACGCUGAGACGCGAAAGCGUGGGGAGCGAACAGG